rnacentral:rRNA from 3 species
AGAAUGACUCUCGGCAAUGGAUAUCUCGGCUCUUGCAUCGAUGAAGAACGUAGUGAAAUGCGAUACUUGGUGUGAAUUGCAGAAUCUCGUGAACCAUUGAGUCUUUGAACGCAAGUUGUGCCCGAGGCUUUGUGGCCGAGGGCACGCCUGCUUGGGCGUCAUGG